GGAAGGUGCUGCCGACAGGACGGCAACUAGUCUUGAAAACUAGAGUACAGGCAACUGUAGGGGUUCGAUUCCUCCAUCUUCCU
rnacentral:tRNA from 1 species